ACACCUCAACUCUCAUGGCUUGCCAUGAUGAGCUUGGACUAUGGGGGUCUUGCUGGCCUGCGGUCGGCUCCUCUCAAACGAAUCAGCUCGCCAGUGUUUGGUGGCGUCACAGGUGUGAUAACUAUCUACGCUUGUGGUUUUCCACCAGGUAACCUUCAGCAAUGGAGGUUCGCUGGGGCUCAUAAACGUCUCUCCUCAGUGAGGACAGCUCUUUGAAC
rnacentral:misc_RNA from 1 species